rnacentral:rRNA from 1 species
GGCAGCAGUAGGGAAUAUUGCACAAUGGGCGAAAGCCUGAUGCAGCAACGCCGCGUGCGCGAAGAAGGCCUUCGGGUUGUAAAGCGCUUUUCUGGAGGAAGAGGAAGGACGGUACUCCAGGAAUAAGGAUCGGCUAACUACGUGCCAGCAGCCGCGGUAGCACGUAGGAUCCGAGCGUUAUCCGAAUUUACUGGGCGUAAAGCGCACGUAGGUGGCAUGGUAAGUCAAAGGUGAAAGCCCUCGGCUCAACCGAGGAACUGCCUUUGAAACUGCUUUGCUUGAGUCCGGGAGGGGGGAGCGGAAUUCCCAGUGUAGCGGUGAAAUGCGUAGAUACUGGGAGGAACACCGGUGGCGAAGGCGGCUCCCUGGACCGGUACUGACACUGAGGUGCGAAAGCGUGGGUAGCAAACAGGAUUAGAUACCCUGGUAGUCCACGCCGUAAACGAUGGGCACUAGGUGCAGCGGGUGUCGACCCCUGCUGUGCCGUAGUUAACGCAUUAAGUGCCCCGCCUGGGGAGUACGGUCGCAAGGCUGAAACUCAAAUGAAUUGACGG